rnacentral:rRNA from 1 species
GACGAACGCUGGCGGCGUGCUUAACACAUGCAAGUCGAACGAUGAACCCGGAGCUUGCUCCGGUGGAUUAGUGGCGAACGGGUGAGUAACACGUGAGUAACCUGCCCUUGACUCUGGGAUAACUGCGGGAAACUGUAGCUACUACUGGAUACGACCCUCGGCGGCAUCGCCAGGGGGUGGCAAGAAUUUCGGCCAAGUAUGGACUCGCGGCCUAUCAGCUAGGUGGUGAGGUAACGGCUCACCAAGGCGACGACGGGUAGCCGGCCAGAGAGGGUAACCGGCCACACUGGGACUGAGACACGGCCCAUGCUCCUACGGGGGGCAGCAGUGGGGAAUAUUGCACAAUGGGGGCAAGGCUGAUGCAGCAACGCCGCAUGAGGGAUGACGGCCUUCGGGUUGUAAACCUCUUUUAGUAGGGAAGAAGCGAAAGUGACGGUACCUGCAGAAAAAGCACCGGCUAACUACGUGCCAGCCGCCGCGGUAA